CCCAGCUUGGUGGCUGGCCUGGGGACAGGAUGGCUCUGUCAGCCAAGGCUGGGCCCAACUUCCCAUCAAAGGAUGAGCCUGGUUGAAUGACCAGUCCUCACUGGGGGCUCUAAAGGACAUGACUGGGUCAGGUACUGCAUGGACUGAUAGCAGGCCUCAUGCGUUAUGGAUGUCUAGUGCAUCCAGCUUCCAGGGAGACAUCCGUUCUCAGAAGCUCACAGAGCAAACCAGGAGAUGGCGAACAAAGGCCCCACACAGAGCCCAAGCACCAGCAGUGGAGGCUCUGGGGGACACCUGGCCCUGCCUCCCCGCAGCCCUCUUCCUGGAGACCACCAUCCAUCCUUGCCAACCUUUGCCGUGCUCGCCACUGAGUGCGUAAGCCAAAGCAUGGCUUCCUGGGCUGCCCCUUGCCUUGAGGGUGACCAUAUGAAGAUGGCCCCGGACUUUGCCAGGCAGAAGUGGAACGUCCAGCCUUCUUAAGUCAUGGUGCACAAGGAGGAUCCCCUGACCCCCAAGCCCCAUACCAUCCCACACGGCCCCUUCUGGACUCAGCCAGGAUGUCCCCAGAGCCCCUCCCCCACUAUCACCCUUUUCUGAAGAUCAUGGCUUCCUGAGCCAGCUCUAGUCUGGACAAUGGCCGGAAAUUCCUGGCUCCGCCUUCAGGGCCAGGCACACUGGUCCGGGAGCUGUGGGGGACUGGUGAGUGGGGGACUGGUAAAUGAGGGAGAUGCUGAUAAGUGGA